rnacentral:rRNA from 1 species
UACGUAGGAGGCGAGCGUUGUCCGGAUUUAUUGGGCGUAAAGGGCGCGCAGGCGGCAUACUAAGUACCAUGUGAAAUCUCCCUGCUCAACGGGGAGGGCGCGUGGUAAACUAGUAAGCUAGAGGACGGUAGAGGGAGAUAGAAUUGCUGGUGUAGCGGUGAAAUGCGUAGAGAUCAGCAGGAAUACCCGUGGCGAAGGCGGUCUCCUGGGCCGAACCUGACGCUGAGGCGCGAAGGCUAGGGGAGCGAACGGG